CCUGUCACGCCCCGAGACCGCUCCCAAUUUGGUCCGGUUCGGGCACGCCGACAGACCGCCGAACGGACAGAGUUUCCCCUGUACGUCCUAGGCGUCGCAACAAGUACAAUACAAAGGUUCCAACCAGGAACAGUACUCAGCAAACAGAAUUGCAUCAGGAAGGUAUCAAUCAACAUAAACACAUCCUAUGAUAUUACAUCCAUUCAUUUUACAUCACAAUUCCAUUACAUUCAACUUCCAAUACAAUUAAGUUAUUACAACAUUUAUUGAUUACAAUUUGAUACAUUUGCUUGCUUUCAUUUUCUAUACCCCUAAGCUACGUCGACGGGGUACUGCUAGCUCUGGUCUCUGGGGGUAGGGCGCUAUCUAUGGAGCUACGCCCUUGCCUCGCGCCGCCGCGCCGCUCACGUGCGAACCUGUAAAACCCCAAAACAACGUGGGGUGAGAACCAACUCCAUGGUUCCCAGUGGGUACGGCCACCCAAGGGAGGAGCUCGACCAACAGGUCCAAGGGAGGCAAAUACAAGUUAGUCCAAUAAACAG
rnacentral:lncRNA from 1 species